AAGUGUUGGGAGGAAAGGGUUAGCCUCAGGAGGAGGGUUGUGGUAUGGGGUUCAGAAGGGAGAAAGCUUAAGGGGAAGGGUGUGAAGCAUGGUCAGGUGAGUUUCUGACGGUGUGGAAGCUGAGGAAGGGUGUCAGUGGGAAGAGGAGGAUGGAGCCCCACCAAAGGGCCUGAAACUCUCUCCAUCUUCAGCUCCAGGGGCCUGGCCAUACCAAAAAAACAUAGGCAAGAAUGACAUCUAAGCAGCAGAGAAGGUAGAUUGCACCACCCACACCCUGAAAGAGCCCUUUGCUUGGCUUUAUCUGCAGGGGGAGAGGCAUCUCCUCUCCUCCCAUUUCCAUCUGGCCGCACCCAGGGUCCAUGGGGACUUCUUUGUGUUCCCCCAUCUCCUUGGUAGAAGGGACAACAGUCUCUCCAUUCUAGCCAAGAAGGAAACAAGAAUAAGACCUUCAGUUCUGCUCCCCGAGAUGAGCAAAGUCUUUCCAGCUCUUCCUCAGUAUGCCACUCCAACUCUAUCAGAAGUCGCCAAGGAAAACUAGAAUGCACUUGGGGACACAAAGACGACAGAGGUUUUAUAAUUGCAUGCACUUCCUCCAAGGGGACCUAGGACAUCCAUUGAACAGACAAAGCCACAGGUGUGUCUGUUGUCUCAACAGGAAAGAGAUUUGCUAAUCACUGAGACCCUGUGGGAGCAGGUGCUAAUGGCCUUUAAAGGAAUACAAAAGGAGGACACAUCUGACAUCCUCAACAUCUGACCAAUCUGCGGCCAGCACACCGAACAUCCCAGGGUACCAACCUUGCAAGUCUCUGACCGCCGAAUCCUCAUUCUCUUUCAGCUUCAGGAAGAUGCUCGGAUUCGAGGCAUGAGUACCCGUUCUAUGGCACUCGUCCCACCUGUCCCCCCCAAGACUGGGACGCCAAAGCUGAUGAUAAAGACACAGGAAAAGACAGCAUGUCCCUGCCUAAACCAAGAAGUGGAAAAGGUGAGCCCCACCCCCACCCCCAGGAACCAUGUCUGAACAUAAUUUGUUCCUCUCAGAGCUCUGGCCUCAUGAAAUAAAGCCAUUCCAACUACCAUUUAUUCACUGGGGCUCUGUGCAAGUGCUGAGCCAGGCAAGCGCUCUACCACUGAGCUUCUAUGCUCAGCUCUCUCUUGGGAUUGUUCAUUUUGAGACAUGGUCUUACAAAGUUGCCCAGGCUGACCUCAAACUCAUUCAGUUGCCGGGGCAGGCCUUGAACUUGGAAUCCUCCUGCCUCAGCCUUCCACGUGGCUGGAAUGACAGGUCCUCACAACCAUGACCAGCAAGAGCAUAUCUUUUAAACAGAUUGGUAACUAUGCUUUAACUCGAUUGGUCCUAAACAUGUAAGGAACACUGAUAUGCAAUGUUAUUACAGAAACUCUUAAGUUUAAUUAUCAUACAUCUUUGCUAUAUGGAUCAAUUUUGAUUGGCCAAAUUCCUCUAAGUCUAUCAUCUAAUCUCACUAGUCCUCUGAAGCAAGCCAGAGACAUUUUCCUGAUGAACAUUUGCUUCUGAUGAGUCCUAACACCCAACAAGAGUUUUUUUUCAUCAUGGGAUUGGAAUCUCAGAGUCAGUGAUGUCUGUUUCUGCUGGUGCCAAGGUCCAAAGACAGUAGAGAAUGUGACUGAGGCACAAAGAGUUGUGUCUCUCUCCUUUACGGUCUACCAGCCCUCUUAUUUGAUGCAGAAGCUUCAAGCCUCCAGAUCUCUCUACACACAUCCCCAAAUAAGAAUCACAGCUCAAAUUCUGGAGAGAAGUCAUCGGAAGCCCAUUCCUACCCCGCAAGGAUGCAACCCCGUGACCAGCCAGCCUUCUACCCUAGACUUUAAACUUUGUCAUCAAGGAAUGUCUCCUGUGUUUCUUCCAGGUAUCUACUCAAAUACCCUUCCACCUUCGCUGUCUACCCUUCCUGACUAUCCUGCUAUGUAUAGCCAGAACCCAGACUUCCCGGGUACUCUUGGUGCAACAUGGCAGAGGACUGUCUUGGCAAGCAGGUGCAGUCCAGAGCUAAGGGAUGAGAUUGAAAAGCAGACGGGUGAGGGCAGGGCCAGCCCAUGUUCUUGUGAUCUCUGUGGUCAUGACGAAGAGCAUAGAUGGUUCUGUAUGGGAAAGAGUAUUCAAGAAUCAGAGAAAAAUUGGACGUAAAGAUAUGGCAUGGGCCCAGCUCAGUCGCCUGAUACUCAAAGGCAGUGAGACAGACACCAUCAUUGACAGAAUCUACCAGCAUCGACUGUGAACUUGGACAUCACUUGAGAGCCAGGCACAUCCUAACUGCCAAGCAAAGAAUCCAGCAGAUAAACAAUGGAGGAAAUAAAUGUGAUGUAAAACAAAGGCCUUGAACAAAUAAACACAGGAUAUUAAAUAACUCUGAGGCAUAGCAUGUAAUCCUAUGGAGUAAGAAUAUGUCACACAGCCAAUGCAACUAUAACUCACUAGAGCAAUAUAGAGAAAGUCAAAGGACAACCUAAGAAGGAGGAGGAGGAGGAAGAGAAGGAAGAAGAAGGAAGAAGAAAAGAAGGAAGGAAGCAGCAGUGGGUAGAGGGGAGAAAGAGACUGUCAUGGGGUGACGUGAUAAAAGUACCUGAUAUGCAUAUACAAACGCCGUAAUAAAACUCAUUGUCAAGUGACUACAGAGGGUUGUCUGCCUCAAAGGUCUAAAUAAAACU
rnacentral:lncRNA from 1 species